rnacentral:rRNA from 1 species
CACGUAGGGUGCGAGCGUUGUCCGGAAUUAUUGGGCGUAAAGAGCUCGUAGGCGGUGUGUCGCGUCGGCCGUGAAAACCUGCAGCUUAACUGUGGGCUUGCGGUCGAUACGGGCAUCACUGGAGUUCGGCAGGGGAGACUGGAAUUCCUGGUGUAGCGGUGAAAUGCGUAGAGAUCCGGAGGAACACCAGCGGCGAAGGCGGCAUCCUGGACUGGUCCUGACACUCAUGAGCGAAAGCGUGGGGAGCGAUCCGG